rnacentral:rRNA from 1 species
UACAGAGGUCCCGAGCGUUGUUCGGAUUCACUGGGCGUAAAGGGUGCGUAGGUGGCCUGAAAAGUUUGAUGUGAAAGCUCAGGGCUUAACCCUGAAAUGGCAUUGAAUACUGUCGGGCUGGAGGUUUGGAGGGGGGACUGGAAUUCUUGGUGUAGCAGUGAAAUGCGUAGAUAUCAAGUGGAACACCAGUGGCGAAGGCGAGUCCCUGGACAACUCCUGACACUGAGGCACGAAAGCUAGGGGAGCAAACAGG